AUAUUUACCUGGCAGGGGGAGAUACCAUGAUCACAAAGGUGGUUUUCCCAGGGCGAGGCUUAUCCAUUGCACUCUGGAUGUGCUGACCCCUGUGAUUUCCCCAAAUGUGGGAAACUCAACUGCAUUAUUUGUGGUAGUGGGGGACUACAUUCUCAGUUUCCCCUGA
rnacentral:snRNA from 1 species